GACGAACGCUGGCGGCGUGCCUAAUACAUGCAAGUUGAGCGAUGAAGAUUGGUGCUUGCACCAAUUUGAAGAGCAGCGAACGGGUGAGUAACGCGUGGGGAAUCUGCCUUUGAGCGGGGGACAACAUUUGGAAACGAAUGCUAAUACCGCAUAACAACUUUAAACAUAAGUUUUAAGUUUGAAAGAUGCAAUUGCAUCACUCAAAGAUGAUCCCGCGUUGUAUUAGCUAGUUGGUGAGGUAAAGGCUCACCAAGGCGAUGAUACAUAGCCGACCUGAGAGGGUGAUCGGCCACAUAGGGACUGAGACACGGCCCAAACUCCUACGGGAGGCAGCAGUAGGGAAUCUUCGGCAAUGGACGAAAGUCUGACCGAGCAACGCCGCGUGAGUGAAGAAGGUUUUCGGAUCGUAAAACUCUGUUGGUAGAGAAGAACGUUGGUGAGAGUGGAAAGCUCAUCAAGUGACGGUAACUACCCAGAAAGGGACGGCUAACUACGUG
rnacentral:rRNA from 1 species